GUUGGUGUAGCUCAGGGGUAGAGUGCAUGCAAGUAUGAUGUCUUGAGUUCAAUUCCCAGCUCCUCCC